UACAUGACUUCUGCAAAAUUAAAACCCAAUCACCAAGUUGUGAGUCUUCUACCAAAUCAGAGUUGCUCCCAUAUCUCUAAACUCAAGAAUCCUAGUUUCAUCUCAAGAACCAUCUUCUCCAAGAUCUCUCAAACCCUAACAUCUUCAAUCCAUUUGUCCCAAAUCUCACACAAAGUCUCUAUAUUCCGAAAAUGCAAUUCUCCUUGGUAAAUAGCGGUAUGCCGAAUUAGAAUGUCCAUCCACUCUUAGCGGGUUUUGGAAAAGACUAGUCUUCUGAUGAUUAAAUCUUUCAAUCAAUUUUUUUCAAAGAAUCUGUGGAUCUUUCUUAGGGAGAUUCAAUUUUUAAUCCAUUAUGAAGAUUAUGACGAAAGAAGAUAAGUACUCCAAGAUGCUUUGAGAUAAGAUGAAUAUUUAUAUUGAGGCAUGACAGAUAAUUUUUGUCAGA